rnacentral:tRNA from 1 species
GUGAAUGUAAUUUAAAAAAAUAUUUGCUUUGCAAGCAAAAUAUCUAGGUUUAAAUCCUAGCUUUUACA